UGACCGACUAACCUCAGCCAUUGACUUAAUUUUGCAUCUGGAAAAAAAUCAAUUUUUCAUCACUUCAGAAUUUGCGAUAAAUCCCUAGACUUCAGUUGAAGAAAUAGAGAUAAAGCACAAGACUUCUCAGUUGAAGAAAUAGAGGAUGGCUUAUGAAGUUUCUAAAGUGGUGUUGCAAGCUUCCUCAACUGUGUAUGCACCUCUUAAAGACAUGUUUUCAUACAUGAUGGACAAGAAAGAAUUUGUCAAAAACUUAGAAGACAAUUUGACAAAGAUGAUUAGAGAGUUGGCCACCUUUUAUUCAAGGAAGGAAAAGGUUGAUCGAAGGCUAGAAGCAGCUGUGUUCGAAGAAAAAAAUGGUGAAUACGAUGUGUUGGUUAAGCAAAUAGAGUUUCAUCAUAAACGAUACUAUGAGUUUGUCAACAAGUAUCAACGAUAUUGCCAGGAUCUGCCAAGUUUUGAGAUUCACGAUGUUUCGAGUGCAACAAAAGUAAUGGAUGUUGUGCAGAAAAGAAAGCCAACCAUCAAGACACGCAAGUUCUUCAAGCUUGCGACACUUAGCAAGAAGAUUAAUGAGCUGCUGAAUGAGAUCUCUCUAGUUAGUGGCAAAAUGGAACCCGAAAACGUGUUACGUGACAAAAAAAUCGAACCCAUUCAAGUGAAAUAUGAUGAUAUUGAUCUUCCUUCAUCCAAUGAAUAUGUCAACAAAAUUAUAAGGUACCUCAACGAAGAUGGAAACAAACGAGUUGGCCUUCUCGGUCUUAUUGGAGUAGGAAAAACAACUAUCAUGAAAAGGUUGAAUAAUCAGCUCAAACAUUCUUUGGCUUCUUCUUGUGGAAUGACAGUGAUAACAAAAUUUGAUUUUGUUAUUUGGAUAGAUUGUCAUAAACAAUAUGAGGAAGAAGAUGAUGUUGUUAAAGGGAUUCAGGAUGUCAUAUUGGGACGACUAAUGCUAAUAGGAAAUGAAGCAAAUAGCAUAGAACAAAAUGCAACAAUCAUAUCAAAUUUCCUCUAUGAUAGAAAGUAUCUAUUGCUGAUUGAUCAAGUCUCUUCAACUAUCAACUUAGACAAAGUUGGAGCUCAUAAAAACCACAGGUUUGGCAGAGCUGUACUUGCAUCUAGUAACAGGAAAGUUAUCUUAUCUAUGACCGAUCAACAGGUUGAGAUCAAGCCUCUAUCGGACACUGAUGCGAUGAAACUCUUUCUAGAAGUUAAUGGCAAAGUUAACGACCCGCGUGUCAAACUUAUUGCUGAGAGCAUAGUAGAGUCAUGUGGAGGGCUGCCAUUGGUGAUCAAGUUAGUAGCUUAUCAUUUAAAAGGGCAAAAAGAUGAACAAGUGUGGAGUGAUGUGAAGCGGAUUCUGCAAUCUGAAACAAAAGCUAACUUGCGAAAAUUGGAAGGAGUCGGACAUGCUUACAAGCUGGCAUAUGAUAAAUUAGAGAAGAGUCAGAAAAAAUGCCUACUUUUUGUAACAUUGUUUUCAAGUGAUCAAAAAGUCUACAAAGAUUAUCUUGUAGAAUGUUGGAAUGCAGAGAGAUUUCUUGAAUUAGAUGUUCCGGAACUUAGGGCUGCACGAGAACGUGGAGCAACAACUUUGAGAGAGCUAACGGAUCAGUAUUUGCUGGAAGAUCACUCAGACGAGCAUGUUAAGAUGCCGGUAUACUUCAGAAGAGUGGCUGCUGAGCAGGAAUAUCCAGGUGAAAACGAAUGCAUAAGUUGGAUGCCACAAAAGAUUCAACCCCUUACUGAUGAAACUUGGAAGACGGCUAGGAGGAUGUCAUUGAUCCGUUGUAAGUCCAAGCUACCUAGCAAACCAAUAAGUGAUAACAUGUCAACAUUGCUAAUGCAAUGUUAUCGCGAUUUGGUGACACUUGGAGAUAUGUUCUUUGAGAACAUGCAAAAGCUUCUCAUUUUGGACUUGCACAAGGCAAAUAUAGAAUCACUUCCGACUUCCUUCUCCAGUUUGGUCAGUCUCAGAUGUUUAUAUCUAAAUGAUUGUCGUCGUCUUGUUAUGUUACCUCCAAAAGUCGAAAAGUUGAAGAAGCUUGAACUCAUUGACAUUCGUGGAACUUCAAUUCGCUCGUUGCCCAGUGAAAUUGGCGAUAUGCUUUACUUAAGGUGUUUGCGUAUUUCAUUUUGCCAAACAAGGUGCCACCGCAAUGGCAAAUGUAAGGAGGUAGAAAUGAUGAUUCCUUAUAAUACCAUAAGUCGUCUUCAUCGGCUUGAAGAGUUGACAAUUGAGGCGGGGUGUUGCAAUCAAGCUUGGAAUAGUAUUGCUGAGCAAAUAGUCAAAGAGGUUGCAUGUUUGGAAAAGGUGAGUACUCUUAAUUUUCACUUCCCAAAUGUGACUACACUUGAACUAUUUGUUGCUCAAAGCAAAUCUCUCCAAAAUACGGACACGCAUUGGAGUACAAACACUUUAAGGUCGUUUAAUAUUUCCAUUGGUUGCUAUGAUACGAGAUAUCCAUAUGGUUCGGUAAUCUCUGGAAUUUCACCGAAACCAGAAAGACUCUUAAGAUUCUCCACUGGUGAAGAAAUUUCUUCGGUAAAAGAACUACUGCGGCAGGCCAACUCAUUUGAAUUAGUUGGCCACGGGGAUGUAGUGAGCUUGAGUGACUUUAACUUGAGAAAUGUCGAAGCACUAAAAGUUUGUGUUUUGAAAGGUUGUAGAAAUAUGACAACUUUUGUGGAUGGUCUUAGAAUCAACGAGCAAAUGGAAAUUACAGAAGAAUCUGAUUUUGUUGUACUUCAGUGUUUGGAGAAACUAUAUUUGUUUGAACUUCAAAGGUUGCGGUCUAUUUGGAAUGGAUCGGUUUGUUCAGGAAGUCUUGCAAACUUAAGGGAACUUACACUAUUUGGUUGUCCAGAGUUGACUACAAUUCUCAAUCAUGAACAAGCGACAACUCUAUCAAGCUUAGAGUACGUCAAAGUUGAGAACUGUUCUGAGGUUGUUGAAAUCAUCAAUGACAAUGUUGCUGCUGACAACGUUGGUCUAUCUAGUAUGCUAAACAAGGUAAAGACCGUCGACCUGGUGGACUUGCCAAAGCUGCGAAGCAUAUGCAAGACUACUACGUCUAUGGAAUGGAGGUCUCUGGUGAAAAUUUCAAUAAUAAGUUGCAAUGGAUUGCGAGAUAUUCAUUUGAGUUUGAGGAAUGCAGACAAGUUGGAAACUGUUGAGUGUGAAGAGAGUUGGUGGAUUCAGUUGCCAGAGGAACAAAACCAAAAAAUUCUUCCUUGCCACUUCAUUGUCGUGGAACAAGAAUUAGGUAAUCAAGGCCGCCAUGCAGGAGAGUCAUAUGAACAUGGAAGAUCAACCAAUCAUGAGACAUCAAUUGCCAGCGUUUCCAACAAGUGCAAUGGUAAGAACAAGCAGCCCAUGUCAAGAACAAGUUCUGGCCUUCAAGACAUUCUGGAAACAUCAAAUGGACCGGGGCAUGUUAUUUAUCAGUCAACAAACACCAAUGUUCCGGCAAAUGAAGAAGCAUCGGUGGGAAGAUGUUCAAAACUGGACUUUUCAGUAUCCUCUCACUAGAGAUAUUUUACUUAACAGAGUUUGAUGAUUGAGGAAUCAGAGGUACUGUUCUAGCAAGUAAAGGUUUUCAGAGUAUGGAUGAUGGUGUGCAGAAAAGAGGAACUUUCUUUUCUUUUUGGUGUUUGAAGAUAAAAAUGAGACAAUCUCAUAUUCUAUUUAUGUGGUUUGUACAAGUAUUGAAUCAAUAUGGAUUGAAACUGCAGUUUCACAAGUUAAAAUUUUCAGUUUGUUAUUUGAUUCAUCUUGUUUGA